GAUUAUGACGACCUGGCUGGGAACGGAACAAGCAGUGACUCCGAUGAGAGCUAUGAGCCACCAAGGCCUCCUACCCCACCGCAGCGAUGCCGUAAGUUCUCCAGAAAGCCUGAAGUAUGUUCUGCCAUGUAUGAAAAGGUUAAACAACCUUCAAAAUCUGGAACAGCAGCGUCACAGUCCCCAGG